CUUUCAGAUUGUGAAGUCAGGAACCUGAGGGAGGGCAGAAAAUUUGAGUAAGCACAUUACCACUUCCUCUGGAGGAGUUGGUUGCUGUUCCAGUGGUAUUGUAACCACUAAAUGUCACAGUGAUCUCUCUAGUCCAGCUCAGCACUGCUCCACAAACUCAUCUUUUUACAGUCACUGACUCAGCUUUGACAAUUCUCAUUCUUUCCCCUCUAUGUGUAUAUAUCUCAGCAAUGAAGAUACAGCUGUAAUUCAGGAGAGAGAAUUUUUGGACAGGAGUGCUAUUCUUCAGUUGCCUAUGAAGCAUCUCCUAACGGAAAAGGUUACUUCAGGAUGAUGGAAGAAAUAAUUGUUAAGAACUAAACCAGCAAGGCAUUCUACCUAGGUUAAGACUAUAGCAAUUCUCUGGAGACAUACCUGAACUUGUUGACAGAGCCUAUCUGGGAAAUUUUAAAACAGAUUGGCUUGGUUGGAGUUUUUAAUUGUUUUUUUUUUUUUUUUUUGAAUAAAGGUGAAGAAAAAAAAAACGGAUGUCAGAACUGAAAGCAAACUGCUUCUUGUUGAAAAAAUCUGAAAUGAUCUGAUUUUAAGCUGUUUUCAGAGGAACAGCUUUCUCUUUUAUCUUUUUUUUUCUUUUUCCUUUUUUUUUUUUUUUUUUUUUUUUUCCAUUUAGAAUUGGAAAUAACUUCAAAAGAGUAUUUCCCUACAGCAGGAAAACUCUUUUCCAAAAGUCAACCACACCCACUCUUUCAGCAGCCUUCCGGAGCUGAGGCAUUACAGCAAGCAUCUGUGAAAGGGAGUUCAUUGAGGACUGGAGCAUGUUUGGUGUUUUAAAUACUCAUAGCACAAUAGUAGUGAAGCCUGCCCUUCUCCAUCUUGCCCGGAAUAAGCAAUGGAUUACCAUUCUUGUCCUGACAAAGAGCUCCUCUUUGCAUGAAGAAAGUUGGAAACAGUGAUUCAAAAAAGAUGCACUACUAGCACUAGGCUCUGAGUAUGUUCUUCUCCCUGAGCAAGGUGUCCUUCUUCAUUAUACCAUUCUUUGGACUGGAGGUUUCUGGUUGGCCCUUCACUCUGCUCAAGCUUCUGUUCUGAUUCUCACUCUGACCUCUGCAGUGGGUGUUCAGACACUUAUUCCCAGUUUGGACUUCUCAAAUCAGAUACUGAAUCCAGAUCCAUGUUUCUCCCAUGAGGCACCUUGAAAAUUAGGUAGAUGAGAAGACCUCUUGAGAGUACUCAACUCAUCUGUUUUGAGAUGUUUCUGCAAAAUAUGAAUCCAACUAUAUGUAAGACCUUCAAAGAAAUCAGUGCUGUUUUCUGUCAUGGUGGCUAAAGGAUAACUUCUUUUCUGUUGAAUUUUUGAACAAAGACAUACUUUUGUCUCUGCCAUAAGAAGAAGAGUCUGGAUCACAGAUCCCACCUCAGAAGCUCCCAGCAAUUGUGACUAUAGAGUCAGGGAUUCUUCACUGGUUUUGGUUAUGGGGCCGUUCUUACCCUGAGAUGUGGAAGUUCGAAAGAAAUUAAGGGCUGUGGUAUAACCACAAUGGAUAGUGCUCCUCAGGAUAAUCUGAUUUACAUCUCUUUGGUGUUUAUGCCUGCUAAGAACAGGACAACAUGGCCUGCACACAGCAAAGAAGCACAGCUACUGCAUGCUCAACUCUGCUUUUGGCAGCUACAGCCAGUUCCAAGGAGUUGUUGGGAGAUUCCUGUGUCUGCUCCAAAGGACCAAGCUUCAGUUUAAGAUUUUCAGCUCCAGAUAACAAAAAUCUUUCCCAUGAAGCUUAAGGAAAAAAAAAAAAAAAAGAAAAAAAAAGAAAGAAAAAGAAAAUGAAAGAUAAAAACAACAAAUGCAGUUACAAAUGCAGUUGGAUUUUCAAUUACUGAGCACUUAUAAUUGUCACUGAUGUUGGUGAGAACUGUGGCCGUAUGGCACUCCAAAAUAAAGCCAGGACAUCCUCAGGCCCUUUACGACUUUGGAUAUUUAUGCAAGCCAAUACUUG
ensembl:lncRNA